UUUCCCAUUAAUUUGCUGCUAUAGUCUUUUCAGUGAUAUGAGCAGUUAUACGCAUGGGAUAAAAUAUCAGUGGACCACUGUCAGUGGAGACAGAAUAACCAUUUCGUCUCCCUUGCAUGCGUAGUCUAGACAUUG